rnacentral:lncRNA from 1 species
GGGCAUUAAUGACCUGGUCACUCCGUUCUUUGUCGUCUUCCUCUCAGAAUAUGUGGGUGUCCAUCCCGUUACUGCCUCACCCCCGUCGGCCCCACCAGCGCUGCGCCUUUUUCUGUGACCGACUUGACUGCGUUCUGAUCUCGGCACUGGGUUUGUCAGCCCCGCCUGCUGCCCAGGGACACCAUGUGCAGUGCAGCGUGGGUUCCUCUGCCCUUCCCACACACAGAAGCCUUUCGCGGCACGGCUGCACUCAGUUUCACCUCUGCCACGGACUUCUGAUCACCUUCUCCCAGACCUAGGAAGAUGGGGGCACUCACUUUUUACAAAAAUUUUAAUAAUGUUAAGUUUCAAACAUACGUAAAAGGAAAAUCUAAUACUGUAAAUCCCCAUAUACUUACCAUCCAACUCAACAGCCAGUCUUGUUUCAUCUGUAUCUAUUUUCCAUUCCCCUCAGCUUUGUGAAUUACUUGGUAGCAAAUCUCAGUGUCAAGCAUCAUGUAAUUUCAUCCAUAAAUAUUUCCAUAUGUAUCUCUAGAAAACAAUGAUUAAAGAAACCUACAGCCAUAAUGCAAUUAUUACAUCUAAAAAGUAAUAAUAGUGCCUUAAUAGAAUCUCAUAUACAACAGUAUUCAAAUUUUCCUGAUUCUCAUAAAUGUGUUUAACAGCUUGAAUCAGGGUCCAAAAUCAAGUCCAACACUCUAAUUGGUUGAUACGUCUCAUCAGUUCCCAUCCUUCUCUCUUGUCCUUAGAACUUUGCAGUGUUAGCCCUUGUUUUUCCAGUUUUCACCCUAGGGCUUUGCCGUACCAAGCAGUAAUAUCACAUUGAUGUUUAAAGCGCUUUAGCAUUUGCAAAGUACUCUGACAUACCUGAAUUCAUUUAGUAGACCCCAGUAUCUCUUUAAGGUAGAUGUAUCAACCCAUUUUCCAGGUGAGAAAUCUAAGGCUCAGAGAUUUAUCGAGAUUUCCAAACUCAAACCCAGGUCUUUUGACC